UCCAGUGUGGUGUAGUGGUUUGAGCAUUGGACUACAAGUCUGGAGAUCAGGGUUCGAGUCCCUGCUCAUCCAUGGAA
rnacentral:tRNA from 1 species